CACGUAGGGGGCGAGCGUUGUCCGGAUUUAUUGGGCGUAAAGAGCUCGUAGGCGGUUUGGCAAGUCGGGUGUGAAAUUUCGAGGCUCAACCUCGAAACGCCACUCGAUACUGCCAUGACUGGAGUCCGGUAGAGGAGUGCGGAAUUCCUGGUGUAGCGGUGAAAUGCGCAGAUAUCAGGAGGAACACCAAUGGCGAAGGCAGCUCGCUGGGACGGUACUGACGCUGAGGCGCGAAAGCGUGGGGAGCGAACAGG
rnacentral:rRNA from 1 species